rnacentral:rRNA from 1 species
GUGGGGAAUCUUAGACAAUGGGCGCAAGCCUGAUCUAGCCAUGCCGCGUGAGCGAUGAAGGCCUUAGGGUUGUAAAGCUCUUUCAGGGGGGAAGAUAAUGACGAUACCAGCAGAAGAAGCCCCGGCUAACUCCGUGCCAGCAGCCGCGGUAAUACGGAGGGGGCUAGCGUUGUUCGGAAUUACUGGGCGUAAAGCGCGCGUAGGCGGACUGAAAAGUUGGGGGUGAAAUCCCGGGGCUCAACCUCGGAACUGCCUUCAAAACUAUCAGUCUGGAGUUCGAGAGAGGUGAGUGGAAUUCCGAGUGUAGAGGUGAAAUUCGUAGAUAUUCGGAGGAACACCAGUGGCGAAGGCGGCUCACUGGCUCGAUACUGACGCUGAGGUGCGAAAGCGUGGGGAGCAAACAGGAUUAGAUACCCGAGUAGUCC